CUGCAUUCACUGAUAGCCCCUUGAAUAUAUUGCUGUUGCUCUUUGUGUUUGCGCUAGGAUAUGAAAGGAAAAUAAUCCCAGCACUUUUUGCCUGUCUCUGUGACAACCAGAUUGAAUAGGAGAGAUCACCU